GCCGCGUCUUGAUUAUUGGUUAUUUUCUUCUAAAUUUGUAAGCAGGAAUACAACUGUAUUAUUCAACUGUAUUGCUAAGCAACCAAGCUUGAGGAUAUUUAUUGUGUCUAAGAUUGACAAUGCCCUGACACAAGACAAACUGGAUAUCGUGUUGAAGACUCCCAAUGGCUGCAGUAAUUAACACACAAAGGGAGUGGAUGCUUUAUUAGUUGUAGAAUUUUACAACAUACCUGUAGUAUCUCUACAACAGCAUUAGAUUGCUGCUGAGUAAGAACAGUUAUAUUGGUUGGUCAGUCAGCUAACUGCAUAUCAAGUUCACCUCAUAUUAGCAUAUUAACAUACCUCAUAUUAACGUGUCCGACUGACAGACCUGUAUGCUAUUUCUUAAAAAUCACCAGCCAGUAAAGAAACAGCAUUGCCAGUGAUACAGUAAUGGGCGAGCAACAGGACUGUUUUGGGACUUCUAUUAAAAGUAUUAAGGGUUAAACUAAUUUAUUCAUGAACUGACCACAUGGUCCAGCUGAAUUGAAGAAGUACAGAGGGUUGCCACUUUGGAUACCUGGAGAACACUCAGGGUAAACUGUCUAGCUUAAGGACAGGACAGAUUUUCAUGAUGGCACUGGGAUUUGAACCAGGGACCUUUUGGUUCGGGUCAGGUUCAAUUGCCUGGGCUGUAAAUUAGAAAAACAACACGCAUCCAAAAUACAAUAGAUUUAUAUUAUAACAUGGGAUGACAAUCCAGUCGACUCUCAGAUUUAUACAAACUAUUGAUUAAAAAAUACCCUAGUCAUUAAAGAACAUAAUACCAAAGGAGAACGCCAACAGUACAGCUGCGGGACAAUUUUGGAUCUUAAGACAAUUACCAAACAAUUAUCAAACAAUGAAAUGACUGACUGGUGUUAUAUAGGACAGGAUUAUGCUACACUAAAGCUUACAGCCAACCACUCUGUGAGACCUGGGCUCAAAUAGUUUUUGCUUUCAAAUACUUUAAAGCACACCAGGAGUGAAAGAUGGAUUCCCUUUGGUUCCAUUGUGCCAGGCAAGCUUAAUCAACCACGGCUGAAAUUAUGAAAACAAGUACUAUUUAAACCCAGGUAUGUUGUUGGUGACUCAGACCUUAGCUGAUGACACUAGUCUCCAGCAUGGCAACAGUUCUACAUUGUUGCACAACAACCCCUCGUGUGGACAAACAGUGAGUAAAAGUUUCCUCCAACAUUAUAGUAAAAAUACAACUUUAAAAAUCAAAUGGGCAUCAGUUAUAGUUUGAAAAUAAGUGGGGCGACAAACACAGGAGUGACAAUGAACUUUUCAACAAGAGAUACAACUUCUAAGUCAGAGACUUGGCAGUGCUGCAAUUUAGCAACAACACGGUCAAUCUCUGACAUCUCUUGUCGUGAUAACCCUCGAAAAAGAUCUUCGUUCAGAGCUUUAUCACAAAGGGUGUCUUUUCCUGAGUUCUGUUCUGGAAAAAAGUGGAAGGUUCUGGAACUAACGAUGAUAGCAUUUACAUUACAAUGUAGAGUUGAGAAACUCCAGCAGUUCGGCGCGAUUCUUGUCCCUCUGUCAUAAAAAAAAAAACAUUAAACAUACUAGUAUGCAUGGGACAGUACAUUUUUAAGUGAAUGCCCUUUUUUAAGAGCAGUUUAUGUAUCACAAUGAUUCCUACCGUAAAAUGUCCUACAGCUGUAUAUCCGGACCUUUCAUUGUAUCCUGACAGCAAGUUGUUGACCAUCAGACUGUUCAGAAACAUGUUUAAUAACGCUCAUACUCACCAGCUUGUCUUUCUUUGACUUCUUCAAUUUCAUUUUUAUCUUCUUUCCUGAGAUCAUGCUGUACUUUCCUUUUCUCUUUCUCUCCUUUAAAU
ensembl:lncRNA